CGAGGUAUAGGCAAAGUUGUUGUUUGUCCUUCUUUCUCAAAGAGGACCAUGACAUCAGGAAGGUGAUGCCAUGACUUGCGAGUGAAUUGGAUUGAAGUGAUGGAGGGCUGUGUAAAAUCACCAGCCUCACUCUCUCCUCCAGAGCCAUCUGGGUCCAGUGACAAGAUAUAGACCAGGACGACUGGAGAUGACCCUGGAUGUGGUGUUCUAUGGAAGGAAAUGAGAGAUCCCUGGGGAGAGGAAUCAGGAAGUAGAAAGUCAUCUCCCAGCACAAUGAACACCACUGAUAAAGAAAACUCAUCUGACCUUACAGAAAUAGAAGAUACAUCAGAGAUAAUAGAAUCAUCAAAGACAGAGGAUAUUGCUGAUGCCACACAGAACGUGGUGAAUGCCGAGAAAAAUUCAUUUUUUUGCCCGCUCUCAAAAUUGCUUUUAUCAGCUGACGCUUUGAUAAAGGAAAACGAAAAAAUCCAUAACUUAAGAAAACAUGAUAUUUCCAUUACAGAAGCAAAGAACUAUCUUCUUCAAGUCUUAAACAUCAUAUCACUAGAAACACUGAGUCAUAGAGUGCCAACAGAGUUUGCUCAGCCUAUUGCUUUCAAAGGCAAGUGUCAUAUUUCUGACCCAAAAGAAAUGAUUAAAAUCCUACACCGCACCUUAUUAGCAAUUAAUGGACCAGGAACAUUAACUGAAAACCGCUCAAUGCCUUCCAGAGCAAUUGCCUUGAUGAACAAAAUUUCCCUGCCAAUGCACAUUUUUCCUUAUGAGAUGCUUGCCCAUCAUUGUCUCCCUUUCUUGUUACCUUUCCUAAUAAGAGAUGACAUUCUGAAUGAGAAGAUUUUCUGUAGGAUAGUCCUUUUCAACAUCGUUCUUCCCAAAGGGAAAGUCUUCAGGCCGCAAGCAAAGAGACAAAAACAUUAUGAAAAAUUGCUCCAUCCAGAAAAACAAUUCAUGGAUCUGAAAGACCUCCAGCGGAAAUAUUAUAAGGGCAUUUUGAAGUGGAAACGAAAGUCCCGGAUGCUGUUCAAAGACCCAUCUUUUGUUAUUGAAAAGGCAUUUGUACCAGAAAUGAUCUCACUUGAUUAUAAACCCACCGUCAUUUUUAAGCUGGUCAGAAGUACUGAUUUUAAUUCACCAUAAAGAGUGGGUUGUUUGUAUUAAGUAGAAUCUUACAUUAAAUAAAACAAUGCACAUCUAUGAUGAUGAUUUUUUC
rnacentral:lncRNA from 1 species